GUUUCACUUGCAUUGCUCACACUUUUUGGUAGCAAGACAAUUCAACUUAACAGUAUCAGACCCAUGCAUUCUAAAUGUUUUCUUGCCAUUUUAAGAUUAAGUCACUGUUUUCAGUAAUGAUCUGUCUAGAUGCAGGGAGCUGUGUCUUUCAGCAUGAUUAAUACUCAGCUAUACUUGUUUUAGCAUGGCAAUGGCAUUUCUUGUUGAUAAUCAUCUCUCUCUUCCUUCCCACAAAAAACUGUCACCAAUAGCAUGGACUCCACCUUUCAGAAAAGUAGGAGCAAAAGUGAGACCCAGACAGAGCAAAGAGAUGAAAUAUCUGUUGCCAUACCAUAUGGAUGCUGUGGUUGUCUCCAACCCUCACAGAAGCUGGGAUGCACAGAAUUUCUACUUUUUACAAUAGAAGAGCUGCCAUCCUUCCUAAGGGAAUGCAAGAGUCAACAGAAAUAUGCAAAAGGCUGGCGGUGCAGAGGCUGCUGCUGCUGGACCAACCCCAACUAACUCUUGCUCCUAGAGCUUCUCCAGGUACAAAGGCAGCACUGACAAGAAGUGAUCCUUCAGCCCGGAAAGGAUGAGCAGGAACACUCAUCCAUUGCCAGCCUGGUUCAAGCCAUGGGGG
rnacentral:lncRNA from 1 species